GCCCUGCUGGCGCAAUGGUCUAGCGCAUCUGACUUCUAAUCAGGGGAUUCUGGGUUCGAGUCCCAGGUGGGGCU
rfam:Pneumocystis jirovecii RT7 supercont1.14, whole genome shotgun sequence.